rnacentral:rRNA from 1 species
AUUGAACGCUGGCGGCAGGCCUAACACAUGCAAGUCGAGCGGAUGAAGGGAGCUUGCUCCUGGAUUCAGCGGCGGACGGGUGAGUAAUGCCUAGGAAUCUGCCUGGUAGUGGGGGAUAACGUCCGGAAACGGGCGCUAAUACCGCAUACGUCCUGAGGGAGAAAGUGGGGGAUCUUCGGACCUCACGCUAUCAGAUGAGCCUAGGUCGGAUUAGCUAGUUGGUGGGGUAAAGGCCUACCAAGGCGACGAUCCGUAACUGGUCUGAGAGGAUGAUCAGCCACACUGGAACUGGGACACGGUCCAGACUCCUACGGGAGGCAGCAGUGGGGAAUAUUAGACAAUGGGCGAAAGCCUGAUCCAGCCGUGCCGCGUGUGUGAAGAAGGUCUUCGGAUUGUAAAGCACUUUAAGUUGGGAGGAAGGGCAGUAAGUUAAUACCUUGCUGUUUUGACGUUACCAACAGAAUAAGCACCGGCUAACUUCGUG